GGAUAAUUAUCUAUAUAUCACUCAAAAACUUUAAAAAUAUCUAAAUUAUUUUUUUUUUUCAAAUAUGUUUUUCGUAUAUUCCUCCGUUAUUCAAAAAUGCUCCCACAGUUAACAUUGGUUAAGUUAUCUCGGAUUAAACAUUAGUUAUAUGUCUACCGGAGUUAAAAAAAAAAAUCAAAAUACCUCUAAGAACGGACAAAUAUUUUUUUGUCCCUAACUUAAGGGUAAAUAAAAAAAAGUUGAUGAUGAUAGAAGGGUAUAUUUAAAAGGGUAAAAUAGUAAUUUUACAGUAAUAACGAUUACUGUAAAUAGUAAUUUUACAGUUAGUAAUUUUACAGUAAUUUUACAGUAAAAUAGUAAUUUUACAGUAAUUUUACAGUAACAACUAUUACUGUAAAUAGUAAUUUUACAGUAAUUUUAAAUUAUAGAAGGGUAUAUUUAAAAGGGUAAAAUAGUAAUUUUACAGUAAUAACGAUUGUUGCUAACCGUUUACUAACGGAAUUUAUUUCUAAAAGUAUAUUUAAAAUAACUUGUAAUGUUAAAAGGAUAUUUUUAAUAUUAAACUUCUAAAAGUGAUAAAUUAGGAAAUCAAAAAAAAAAUU
rnacentral:lncRNA from 1 species